UACGUAGGGAGCAAGCGUUGUCCGGAAUCAUUGGGCGUAAAGCGCGCGUAGGUGGCUUCGUAAGUCCGUUGUGAAAGUCAAAGGCUCAACCUUUGAAAGCCGAUGGAUACUGUGAAGCUAGAGUACGGAAGAGGUGAGUGGAAUUCCUGGUGUAGCGGUGAAAUGCGCAGAUAUCAGGAGGAACACCGAUGGCGAAGGCAGGUCUCUGGGCCACUACUGACGCUGAGAAGCGAAAGCGUGGGGAGCGAACAGG
rnacentral:rRNA from 1 species